rnacentral:rRNA from 1 species
CCUACGGGGGGCAGCAGUGGGGAAUAUUGCACAAUGGGGGGAACCCUGAUGCAGCGACGCCGCGUGGGUGAAGGAGUACUUCGGUACGUAAAGCUCUGUCAGCAGGGAAGAAAGAAAUGACGGUACCUGACCAAGAAGCCCCGGCUAACUACGUGCCAGCAGCCGCGGUAAUACGUAGGGGGCAAGCGUUAUCCGGAAUUACUGGGUGUAAAGGGAGCGUAGACGGCAGCACAAGUCUGGAGUGAAAUGCCGGGGCUUAACCCCGGAACUGCUUUGGAAACUGUGCAGCUAGAGUGCAGGAGAGGUAAGUGGAAUUCCUAGUGUAGCGGUGAAAUGCGUAGAUAUUAGGAGGAACACCAGUGGCGAAGGCGGCUUACUGGACUGUAACUGACGUUGAGGCUCGAAAGCGUGGGGAGCAAACAGGAUUAGAUACCCGGGUAGUC